CGGAGGAUGCAAGCGUUAUCCGGAUUUAUUGGGUUUAAAGGGUGCGUAGGCGGAUGAAUAAGUCAGUGGUGAAAGCCUGCAGCUUAACUGUAGAAUUGCCAUUGAUACUGUUUAUCUUGAGUACAGCUGAGGUGGGCGGAAUAUGACAUGUAGCGGUGAAAUGCUUAGAUAUGUCAUAGAACACCGAUUGCGAAGGCAGCUCACUAAACUGUCACUGACGCUGAGGCACGAAAGCGUGGGGAGCAAACAGGAUUAGAUACCCUGGUAGUCCACGCCCUAAACUACGAUCACUCGAUGUUGGCGAUACACUGUCAGCGUCUAAGGGAAACCAUUAAGUGAUCCACCUGGGGAGUACGGUCGCAAGACUGA
rnacentral:rRNA from 1 species